rnacentral:rRNA from 1 species
CAGUCGCCGCGGGAAUACGAAGGGGGCUAGCGUUAAUCGGAAUUACUGGGCGUAAAGCGUGCGCAGGCGGUUGUGUAAGACAGGUGUGAAAUCCCCGGGCUUAACCUGGGAACUGCGCUUGUGACUGCACAGCUAGAGUAUGGCAGAGGGGGGUGGAAUUCCACGUGUAGCAGUGAAAUGCGUAGAGAUGUGGAGGAAUACCGAUGGCGAAGGCAGCCCCCUGGGACGAGACUGACGCUCAUGCACGAAAGCGUGGGGAGCAAACAGGAUUAGAUACCCGCGUAGUCCCUGUCUCUUAUAC